CGGCGAACGGGUGAGUAACACGUGGGUAAUCAACCCUCGAUACUGGGAUAGCCCGGGGAAACUCGGAUUAAUACCGGAUGGCCCUUCGGAUCUUCGGAUCUGACGGAAAAGGUAGCUUCGGCCUCCGAUCGAGGACGAGCCCGCGGCGGAUUAGCUUGUUGGUGGGGUAAUGGCCUACCAAGGCGACGAUCCGUAGCUGGUCUGAGAGGACGAUCAGCCACACUGGGACUGAGACACGGCCCAG
rnacentral:rRNA from 1 species